rnacentral:rRNA from 1 species
UACGUAGGGUGCAAGCGUUGUCCGGAAUUAUUGGGCGUAAAGAGCUCGUAGGCGGUCUGUCGCGUCUGCUGUGAAAACUCAGGGCUUAACCCUGAGCUUGCAGUGGGUACGGGCAGACUAGAGUGCGGUAGGGGAGACUGGAAUUCCUGGUGUAGCGGUGGAAUGCGCAGAUAUCAGGAGGAACACCGAUAGCGAAGGCAGCUCGCUGGGACGGUACUGACGCUGAGGUGCGAAAGCGUGGGGAGCGAACAGG